UCCCGAUCCCGCCCCUGCAAUUCCCAGAUUUCCUCUUUUAGCAUUGCGCUCAACGUUAAGUUGCACGACGACGACGACGACGGCGAUCAUCAGGCAGACGCAAGCAGCAACGUAGAAUUCCUUCUGCGAGUGUGCGUGGAGGGUUAAGGAGAGCGGAGGAAGAGAGAGCACCCGGAUAAUUUGGUAGGCGACUUCGGCAGGGGAAAUCGAUCACAGGACCGUUCCUUGCCGUCCGCUCCCAAGUGACUGAAUUAAUUCGAAUGAUUCGAAUGUUUCGUUUCAGCUGGUUUUCAGCCGACUUCUCUCGCCCGUGUAUACGAAAUAAAGGAGCGUGCGUGCGAGGGAGCGAGCGAGCGAGUGAACGAGCGACCCGACAUUCUCCAGUCGGAUAGGUAUUUAACGGACGUACACGUGUCCGACCAUAUUGCGUUUGUGUCGUUCGAUAAAUAGGUGGCUAAGCAACUCCAACGGAAACCCGUGUUAAUUAACGUUGAGUUUCAGGACUGAUUUACGUGGCGUCUAAUUAGCGGGCCUGCCGGCGACGUAGUAGGCAUUUUGAUUGGCCGCGCCGCGAAUAGAACGCGGCCCGAUUGGCCUUGCCGGCGUGUCGUAUCGAUUGUUUUCGUUUCUUCUUCUUCUCCUCCUCCUCCUCCCCCCCUCUUCCUUCUCCUAUUCCCGUUUCUCUUUUUGUUUCGUCUUAAAAACAAAGGCCCGAAUAGACGCGCCAAAGCGCGGCUCUCUCGAAACGAGAGGAGCACUCGGGAUGCCGCAAUGCAAUUACCGAUCACGAACGUAAGUGAUAUCGCGAGCUCUAUAUUAGAAAACGUUGUUUCUAAUACAUGCAACCUUUAAAAAAUUAGGAAAAAAUUGUCUCAAGAUCGUGAGUUUUUUCAACGUCCAAAGGUGUCGAUUUUUCUCGUUAAUCCGGAUUGUAUCAUCUUUUUUUUUUUCUUUUCAUGACCACAAGACGGUCUGUUACGCAAAAAUGAAAGAGAGAGAGAGAGAGAGAGAGAGACUUCUGCUCGCUAAUUAAACCGCUCGCUUCGCGUCCUAAUCUUUUAUUUGCCGGCUGUCUCGCAGGCGUAUCAAUUAAAUCCGAGGUCAAGCGGGCGCGGUUACCGGCCCGUGUGCGUUCCGCGCGCGCAGUUUGUACACGCGUCUGUUAAUUAUGAACGUGUCACUGACGUAAUCGUCGUUCUCCUUCCGCGCUCCCUUCCCUUCUCUCUCUCUCUCUCUCUCUCCCUCGCCAUCGCGUGGCGAUUGAAACGCACGGCGCGCGAUUUGCACGGGAGCGUUAACGAGGCCUUUUGACGCGAGAAAAUUCGCGGAUGCCCCGCGGAUGCCCCCGCGAAAACACAAUGGGCGAUAAUACAGCUCACAAUCGCGAUCUUGAAUGCGAGCGCGCGAUGCAUUUUGAAACGUCAAGCGUGUGCAGUUUCUUCAAGUUUUGCGGCAAUUAACAGUCGACGGCGAAUAACAAACUGAAUUUAAUUAAUUGCAUAACUGCGAGCGGAGGCGGUCCCCUACCCCCUUUCUCUCUCCCUCUCUCUCUCUCUCUCUCGCUCGCUCGCUCUUUUCCCUCCUCACCCUUUCCGCCGCUACCGCCACCCUGCCCGCCAACCCCCACACUUCUAAUCGAAGCGGGGUACAUAUUGUUGCACCCGUUGCGCUCUGCCCCUCAUCAGCCCCACCGGCAAUUAAUUAUAGCAUUCCAGGUUAGCCCGGGAAUUAAUUACGUCCAGAAGUUGGACGAUGGCGAGAGGGGAGAUCGUUAGAAAUCGUCCUUCGUUAGAGUUAGGCGAGCGCCGGUCCAGGGUAAUUAUUGAUGGCCUCCUAUCAGGUCGCUCAUUGUGCCGAUAACGCGUUCGGCCGAGAGGGGGGAGGGAGGAUCUCAUCGACACCUCUGACUUUUCGGGGGGAGAGGAAAAAAAAAGAGCGAGGCAAAAAAUCCUAUUGCGUCUGUCGAACGAGCUGCUGGGAUCGACGUCUCUCGUUCACUCGUUCAAACGAUUUUUUUUUUUUUUUUUUUUUUUUCUAUACAACCCCGAAGCGCAAGAUAUCGGCGAGGGUAAAUCGCGAACGUCGGUGCAUCGUCGUCCUUCGUCGCGGAGCGACGGACCAAACGUUGGCGCAAAUCCGCGCAUCCCUCGCCCGGGGAAACUCCGUUGAUGACGACGCCGCGGACCACUUGUUCAACCACUCCUUAAUCCCUUCUGCUUGUUAACACCGCGCCAACGCUCUACCCCGCCGGCGGGACGUCGUACGUUGCCGGGGAGACAAAAAGGGAUCGUUAGCGCUCGUGAAACACGACGUGUCUCGCGCACGGGGGGGUUGGUGCGGAUGUCCCGCCGGUUAACCGCGCGAUCCUUUCCAAGUUACCUGCGUCGCGAAAUCACCGAUAAUCGGCAACGUAAAGGCGAGCAACAGGUUCAAGAGAAACGGACGCUCGUCGCCGAUCGAACGACGCGCUAACGAGCGAGAGACGCGCGAUGACGUUAAAAAAUGCGAAUCGUGCCGGCGCGCGCGUCGUCGAAUUUCCUCCCCCCCCCCCCCCUCGCGGACGUGAACGUGGUGGAAAAGGGUAAAAAGAAAGGAGGAGAGAAGAGUCGGUGAGGAGGAUGAAAGGGAGGAAAAGGGGAGGAAGGGGGAUGAGAGCGAGAUCCGGCGAGACAGGCGAGGGGGAGGGUUGCCCGCGCGAGGGUGGAUUAGUUGACACACUGGCGAGGCAAUUAUUAUUGUGAGUGGUUGGCGACGGGGACUCCGAUGAUAUUUUAUUUAAGAAACAAUCGGGUAAUAGCUCGCUUCAAGAGGAUAGAUAACGCCGAGCGCGAGCGCGGGCCUGGAGAGGCCGACCGAGCGGGGAGAAAAGUUGCGGCGGGAUAGAGACGGGCUACGAGAAAAGGGAAUUACGAUGGACGAGGGAGGGAAAGAUGAGGGGAGGCGAAAGGUGAACUUUGAGACUCGGGCUGGUAUCGGGGUAAGCUCUACAUUAGCGAAUUACCCGCGCGCGCGCGCGCGCACCCGCAAGUCCCUCGGCGGCGAACGAUAAAUAUAUAUACCGAGGGGCAAUCCGGAAAUAUUGUUCACAGGAUUCCGUAAAGAUCCGCAAAGAAAAAUCGGUGCUCUUCUCCCCGGGGGAAAGAAAGAGCCUCGAGUUCUUGGAUUCUCGGCGAGAGAGAGGACCAUCCAGAGACCUCUCGCCCCAGCUGUUUAUUUCAUUCGUUCUAUUCGCGAUCGGAAUUCGCGAUUUCGCGAGAUAAAACGAGUAGCGCGUAACCGCGUCCGCAGCGUCCUCGUCGCGACGUCGGCGACGUCAAAGUCAGAUUUGUUUUUCCGAGGGGGAGAAAAACGAACGGUGGCGCCAUCGAACGGCCGGCAGGUAGUACAUACUUUGCGUCAAGACUGGCGAUCCUAGAUCCUAACCUGCGACGAGCUCCCUCGAACGAAAAAACAAAUUUCCGAGGUGACUUUCUCGCGGGUGACAGGUGGUGACUGGUAUGGCGAAUGGCAAUCAUUGCAUGUACUUCGUCGAGCGCAAGAUGCGGUUCUGCCGUAUGACGGUGCGGGAGGGCAGGCGGUACUGCGGCGAGCAUCAGCAGGACGACGUCGAGGACGACAGGGUGCCCUGUCCGUUGGAUCCGACACACACGUGCUACCGGUCGAGGCUGACGAGGCACCUGGGCGUGUGCAACACCAAGCGGAGCCUGGACGAGCGACCGGUGUUCGUGGUCGACGGGGCGAACUUGGACGACGAGGACGCUAUCGCGGCGCCGCCGCGCGUGCCGCUGUCGCAGCUCGACGGGGCCGUCGUAGGGACGGUGAUAAGGAAGAUUUAUGCCGCCUACGAAGACCUGCCAGAAUUUUCCCAAACGAUUCUGAGGCAUGACGUGCUUCGAGACAAAUUGAACGAGGAAACCUGUGGCAGUAACGUUAAAAGACACUUGCUCCAAAAUGCAUCCCUACUGGGACAUCUGGAGCGAGUUGGUCUCCUGCGAGACAACACAUGCUUCAUCGAAUUUGGAGCUGGGAAAGCUCAGUUAACGUAUUGGCUGGGGCAGAUAAUAAAGGACAAGUCCAACUCUUGCGUCUUACUAGUUGAUCGUUCUAGUCACCGGCACAAGAACGACAACAAGCUUAGAAGAGAGGAGAGUCGUCUCGCGAUAAAAAGAAUACGCGCCGACAUCGCCGAUUUGCAGCUGAACCAGAUCGAAGAGAUCCAACCGAUCAAGUACAAGGUCGGCAUAGCGAAGCAUCUCUGCGGCGCGGCUACGGAUCUAACGAUACGUUGCUUGACGAAGUCGAUGAGCGGCGAGCCCAGAGUCGAUGUGCGCGGUCUAAUCGUCGCAUUUUGCUGCCACCACAAGUGUGAGUACUCGUCGUACGUGGGACGAGAAUACUUGCAACGAUGCGGCUUCACCGCGGACGAGUUUCCCAUUCUGUGUAGCAUCGUCAGCUGGGCGACCUGCGGCUUUCGUACGAAGGACGACUUUGACUCGCCGCGCGAUUCCACGAUGCCGCAGAAUGAGACGGCUGAUCGGUCCUCGAGAUCGGACGAGCGCGAAGUUAUCGGACGCAUGGCUAAAACGCUGCUUAAUUGGGGUCGCCUGGUCUUUUUGGAGAGCGUCGGCUUCCAAACUGAACUGCUUUACUACAUUCCCACUGAAGUUUCAUUGGAAAACAUGUGCGUGGUAGCCACGCGAGAACAUUCAUCGUGACUGAAAAAAUAGUACGUUCGAUGCGGACGCGGCCCGCGACUUGCUGCUCCUCUUGUCGCCUGAGGGAUACCGUUACGUCGUCGAGGGAAAACUGGUAUCGGCGACGCGAAGAAAGGCGAAGGAAAGAGAAAAAGAAAAAAAAUCCCCAUUGAGACGAGCGCGAGGAGUACCUGAAGAAUCCGUAUUUCAAGGAGCACGAGUACGGCGACUUUACGCCGUUCUAUGCGACAAUUGCGUUCUGCACCGUUCUAGGCGGAUUCCUGUUCAUCCUGAACAUCGUGUUCUGUUGGUGCUCGCGGCACCGUGAAUACUGGCAGAAUCGUCACACUGCAUAUUAUCCUAUUGGGAUUUAGGCAAUAGGUGGAUCCAGCCUCUAUGGACUGUAUUACCACACAAAACUCCGCCGCUUGAUCUUAGUGAGUUAGAAUCCGGC